GCCGAGUUCAGCAGCGUGAGCUUGUAACCCGAGCGGGGGCACUAAGGUGGUGUGGACGUUGCCGUAUGGCUACGGGCCUGGGCAGCUAGCGCUCCUGCUGGCCCGCCCGUUCCAAGUUGGUAGAUGGAUCGCUGGGGCCUGUGCGAAAGCUGGGCCUCACGAUUCCUAAAGCGGCAGGCACCGCGUGAGGCUGGCUUCACAGAGCAGCGACAACUGCCCGCUCCCAACGGUGGGAGGAUAACGGGCCGCUGCGCUUCCAGCCCACUACGGGCCUCGUAGCCUACUCCAACGGACCACCAUUUUU
rnacentral:SRP_RNA from 1 species